rnacentral:rRNA from 1 species
UACAGAGGUGCCGAGCGUUAGGCGGAAUCACUGGGCUUAAAGCGUGUGUAGGCGGACCGUUAAGUACCUUGUGAAAUCCCCCGGCUCAACCGGGGAACGGCGGGGUAUACUGGCGGUCUUGAGCCAUCCAGGGGCAGUCGGAACAGACGGUGGAGCGGUGAAAUGCGUAGAUAUCGUCUGGAACGCCGAAGGUGAAAACAGACUGCUGGGGAUGCGCUGACGCUGAGACACGAAAGCCAGGGGAGCGAACGGG